CACCCCUAGGGGUGAGAGAAAGUCACCGGACCCUUUCAUCAGCUAAACACUCCCAGAGACUUCCUCUGUCUAAGACUGCAGAGCUGAUGCACCAUGUAAGAAAGGUCUAACACAACUGCCAUGGGCCUUGAUCACCUGGCUAGAGUCAUGUCUGUUGACUUUCUCCGCCAUGAAGUUACUUGCGGAUCAGGCAGAGGACUUAGAUGAAUCAUUUGGAUUCUUCCACACAGUUGUGGCCUCCCUUCCCCCAGCCUGG